rnacentral:rRNA from 1 species
AUUGAACGCUGGCGGCAGGCCUAACACAUGCAAGUCGAAUGGUAACAGGAAACAGCUUGCUGUUUCGCUGACGAGUGGCGGACGGGUGAGUAAUGUCUGGGAAACUGCCUGAUGGAGGGGGAUAACUACUGGAAACGGUAGCUAAUACCGCAUAACGUCGCAAGACCAAAGAGGGGGACCUUCGGGCCUCUUGCCAUCAGAUGUGCCAGAUGGGAUUAGCUAGUAGGUGGGUAACGGCUCACCUAGGCGACGAUCCCUAGCUGGUCUGAGAGGAUGACAGCCACACUGGAACUGAGACACGGUCAGACUCCUACGGGAGGCAGCAGUGGGAAUAUUGCACAAUGGGCG